AACUCCUCGCGACUUGGCCGGGCACAAGGGGAAGCUCUCAGCUCUGCGGGGCCGUGCUGGGGUGCUCCCUGCUGACGGGGACAGCGUGUCACGUUUGCAAGCCUCGCAGACUUAUUUUCAUUGGCCUGAAGAGUAAAUCUGGCCAUUUCUAAGCUGAAACAAUUUUCUGCUGGGAAUUGAGGCGAGGCUCUUCUCCGCUGUCGCACCUCCAGCAUGGUCCCGGCCCAGGAGGACCCGCUCCUCGCCCUGCAGCACUGAAGUAAGUUUGUUCCCUUGAGACCGCUUUUCCUUCCCCAUAUGCUCACC